rnacentral:rRNA from 1 species
UACGUAGGGGGCAAGCGUUGUCCGGAUUUAUUGGGCGUAAAGAGCGUGUAGGCGGCCAGGUAGGUCUGGUGUGAAAACUCGAGGCUCAACCUCGAGAGGUCAUCGGAAACCAUCUGGCUAGAGUCCGGAAGAGGAGAGUGGAAUUCCCGGUGUAGCGGUGAAAUGCGCAGAUAUCGGGAAGAACACCUAUGGCGAAGGCAGGCU